rnacentral:tRNA from 1 species
GAGGGCAUAGCUCAAGAAAUAGAGCAUGUGCUUAGUAUGCACAAGGUCCGGGGUCAAUCCCCAGUCCCUCCA